rnacentral:rRNA from 1 species
UCGAGCGCGGGANGCCGGCGGACUCCUUCGGGAGGAAACCGGUGGAACGAGCGGCGGACGGGUGAGUAACACGUGGGCAACCUGCCGGACUGAUGGGAAUAACCCCGGGAAACCGGGGCUAAUGCCCAAUACGCCCUGACCUCGCCUGAGGUCAGCGGCAAAGCAGGGAUCUUCGGAUCCUUGCACAGUCCGAUGGGCCCGCGGCGCAUUAGCUAGUUGGAGAGGUAAGGGCUCCCCAAGGCGACGAUGCGUAGCCGACCUGAGAGGGUGAUCGGCCACACUGGGACUGAGACACGGCCCAGACUCCUACGGGAGGCAGCAGUAGGGAAUCAUCCGCAAUGGGCGAAAGCCUGACGGUGCAACGCCGCGUGAGUGAUGAAGGUUUUCGGAUCGUAAAGCUCUGUUGACAGGGAAGAACCCACGCCAGUCGAACAGGCUGGCGUGCUGACGGUACCUGUCCAGAAAGCCCCGGCUAACUACGUGCCAGCAGCCGCGGUAAUACGUAGGGGGCAAGCGUUGUCCGGAAUUAUUGGGCGUAAAGGGCACGCAGGCGGUUUCGUCAGUCCGAUGUGACAGGCCACGGCUCAACCGUGGAAGGCCAUUGGAAACUGCUAAACUUGAGGACAGAAGAGGAGAGUGGAAUUCCACGUGUAGCGGUGAAAUGCGUAGAUAUGUGGAGGAACACCAGUGGCGAAGGCGACUCUCUGGUCUGUACCUGACGCUGAGGUGCGAAAGCAUGGGGAGCAAACAGGAUUAGAUACCCUGGUAGUCCAUGCCGUAAACGCUGAGUGCUAGGUGUUAGGGGUUUCGAUACCCGUAGUGCCGAAGCUAACGCAUUAAGCACUCCGCCUGGGGAGUACGACCGCAAGGUUGAAACUCAAAGGAAUUGACGGGGGCCNGCACAAGCGGUGGAGCAUGUGGUUUAAUUCGACGCAACGCGAAGAACCUUACCAGAUCUUGACAUCUUCCGCUACGCCUCGAG